AUACGGAGGGUGCAAGCGUUACUCGGAAUCACUGGGCGUAAAGCGCGCGCAGGCGGCUAUUUAAGUUGGAUGUGAAAGCCUACGGCUCAACCGUAGAACUGCAUCCAAAACUAUUUAGCUAGAGUGUGGGAGAGGAAGAUGGAAUUAGUUGUGUAGGGGUAAAAUCCGUAGAGAUAACUAGGAAUACCAAAAGCGAAGGCAAUCUUCUGGAACACUACUGACGCUGAGGCGCGAAAGCGUGGGGAGCAAACGGGAGUAGAAACCCCAGUAGUCC
rnacentral:rRNA from 1 species